AUUGAACGCUGGCGGCAGGCUUAACACAUGCAAGUCGAGCGGGGGGAGGUAGCUUGCUACCGGACCUAGCGGCGGACGGGUGAGUAAUGCUUAGGAAUCUGCCUAUUAGUGGGGGACAACAUCUCGAAAGGGAUGCUAAUACCGCAUACGUCCUACGGGAGAAAGCAGGGGAUCUUCGGACCUUGCGCUAAUAGAUGAGCCUAAGUCGGAUUAGCUAGUUGGUGGGGUAAAGGCCUACCAAGGCGACGAUCUGUAGCGGGUCUGAGAGGAUGAUCCGCCACACUGGGACUGAGACACGGCCCAGACUCCUACGGGAGGCAGCAGUGGGGAAUAUUGGACAAUGGGGGGAACCCUGAUCCAGCCAUGCCGCGUGUGUGAAGAAGGCCUUAUGGUUGUAAAGCACUUUAAGCGAGGAGGAGGCUACUUUAGUUAAUACCUAGAGAUAGUGGACGUUACUCGCAGAAUAAGCACCGGCUAACUCUGUGCCAGCCGCCGCCGUAACAC
rnacentral:rRNA from 1 species